CUGAUUUAUUUAUACAAUUUUAUUUCCUAUAUUUUUAUUAAAAUUAUUUCAAAAAUGGAACUAUAUCUGGGGAUUUUUAGUUUUAGUGACAAACGUCUGUCAAAGUCAUUUGAUUGUUCGUGGACACACUGGAGUUUUUAUGGAGUGUUAGUGUUGUGAAGCAAGUGAAUUUUUCGCGAAGUUGAAUAUUUUUACAUAUCGUUCUCUUCCCCAUCACCCUCGAAGUAGAUGAAGGAUAUAUUAUGCCUCGAAAUCAUAAAGAAAACAA